rnacentral:lncRNA from 1 species
GUCGAAGCUCGCUUUCACUCCUCAGAGGGCUAGCGCUAAGGUUCUGGAAACUUCCCUGUUCCCAAAAUAGCCAGUUAGAAGGGUAGGAUAGUAGUCGGUUAUACAUAGAACUUCGCCCUCAGAGAGUUCCAGUUCUGAACUGAAUCUGUUGUUAAGCAGCUGGGUUAUCCUGGGCAAACCACUUAACGCCUCCAAACUUGGUUGGCCCAGGUAGAACGGACUGAAGGGAGCAUCAUGUUUCCUCACUAAAGUCUCUAGACAAGGCAAUGAAAGCACAGAACUUCUGUGAAGCACAUGGAAGUGUCUAUCAAUUAUGUGUGCUAGGCGGGACCAACCAGCUCCACUUAGCCCUGUAGCCAGCUCUCAGAAGCAGGCAGAAGGGCUCCUUGCUUUCAGUCCUCAUGAACCUGAAACACAAAGUGUGACCACCUAGGUCUUUUGGGAUCUGGUUCAUAACAAACUAUGUUUGUGCGACAGACCAUUCUCAUGCCUUCAGACUUGCUCAUUUGUUCUGUGUCUCAGAGGCAGCAGGCAGCUGGGUAUGGUUGGGAGCUGAGCUACCUGUGGGUUUGGAGAGAUGGUUAACGUUUUGGAGAAUAAUGUUUGAGUAGAGCACUUCAGAGACAAGAGUAAUGCAUCAAUCAGAGGGUUAUCUUCUUCCUGUUAAAUAACAUAACUAUGUAGAUGUUUGCUACCAGUAGACCUGAGUGCUUGCUUGCUUUAUUUUCUAAUUUGUGACUCUUGCAGUGGUCAUGAAUUAAAAUGGAUAUUCAACUGUUCCAUGAGGCAACGAAUGGGGAUUUUACAUAUUAAAUCAGCAUUGUCUGCUGGAGCUCUCUGCCACCUGGGAAGGCUCUGCAUUUGGGCUGUCAAAGCCACAAGCUCAGACAAUGAAGAUGGCAAACUGAAGGUGUACACUUCUUUCAAGUCAGUCACCAGAGGCUUAAGUGUUGGACUGUGUCUAUGGAUAUCCUAUUGCAGAACAUGGCGUUAGAUUAGUGAGAACAGUCUUCCUCUAUAGGCACAACUUUGCAUCAGACAUUUGAUGGGAGAGGUUCGUCUUUGAAGGGAAGUUUUAUUUAAGUCUGUCCCUGGAUCCACAUCAUCCGUACGUCUGUCUACAGGGCAAAGGACUUCAUCUUUCAUGAGUGCAAUUUCAAACUUGGUGCCAACGAGAGACAUCUUCCCUGGACUCAAAUGCGCGAAGCCUGAACAGGACAUCUUGAGUGUUAGCUUCUCUGGGACGGCUGCGGUGUGCAGCACAUUUUUGUUAAGGUGUUAUUCAAAGUUUCUGAUUAACAUAAGUUUUUCUUAAAAUUAUACAAAAACAUAAUACCAUGAUUAUGGAAAUAAAAAGCCACCCACAAGCUUACUAUCUUUACA